AUAUUGGUCAAUGGGCGGGAGCCUGAACCAGCCAAGUCGCGUGAAGGAAGCAGGAUCUAUGGUUCGUAACCUUCUUUUGCAGGGGAAUACAGUGCAGGACGUGUCCUGUUUUGUAUGUACCCUGAGAAUAAGGAUCGGCUAACUCCGUGCCAGCAGCCGCGGUAAUACGGAGGAUCCGAGCGUUAUCCGGAUUUAUUGGGAUUAAAGGGAGCGUAGGUGGUUUGAUAAGUCAGCGGUGAAAGUUUGCAGCUUAACUGUAAAAAUGCCGUUGAAACUGUCGGACUUGAGUGUAAAUGAGGUAGGCGGAAUGGGUGGUGUAGCGGUGAAAAGCAUAGAUAUCACGCAGAACUCCGAUUGCGAAGGCAGCUUACGAAGCUAUAACUGACACUGAAG
rnacentral:rRNA from 1 species